GACGAACGCUGGCGGCGUGCUUAACACAUGCAAGUCGAACGGAGCUAUUUAUUUCGGUAGAUAGCUUAGUGGCAAACGGGUGAGUAACGCGUAGGCAACCUGCCCUUAGGAUGGGGACAACGGCCCGAAAGGACCGCUAAUACCGAAUGGACUCUAACUUUCGUAUGAAAGAAAGAGGAAAGAUGGUGCAAGCCAUCGCCGAAGGAAGGGCCUGCGUCUGAUUAGCCAGUUGGUGAGGUAACGGCUCACCAAAGCGACGAUCAGUAGCCGGUCUGAGAGGAUGAACGGCCACAAUGGGACUGAGACACGGCCCAUACUCCUACGGGAGGCAGCAGUGGGGAAUCUUCCGCAAUGGGCGAAAGCCUGACGGAGCAACGCCGCGUGAGUGAAGAAGGUCUUCGGAUCGUAAAGCUCUGUUGUCGGGGACGAAAGGGAAGGGGAGGAAAUGCCCUUUUAAGACGUACCCGACGAGCAAGCCACG
rnacentral:rRNA from 1 species